rnacentral:rRNA from 1 species
GACAUAGGGGGCAAGCGUUGUCCGGAAUUACUGGGCGUAAAGGGAGCGUAGGCGGGAAAUUAAGUUAAGUGUGAAAUCUCCGGGCUUAACCCGGAGCGGUCAAGUGAUACUGUCGUGCUAGAGUGCAGAAGGGGCAACUGGAAUUCUCGGUGUAGCGGUGAAAUGCGUAGAUAUCGAGAGGAACACCUGCGGCGAAGGCGGGUUGCUGGGCUAACACUGACGCUCAUGCACGAAAGCGUGGGGAGCGAACAGG